rnacentral:rRNA from 1 species
AGUGAACGCUGGCGGCAGGCCUAACACAUGCAAGUCGAGCGGCAGCGGGUUCCCGCGAGGGGAUGCCGGCGAGCGGCGGACGGGUGAGGAACACAUCGGAAUCUGCCUGGGUUGUGGGGGAUAACGUAGGGAAACUUACGCUAAUACCGCAUGAGACCCCUGAGUCGACGGACUGGGGGUGAAAGUGAGGGACCUUCGGGCCUCACGCGACCAGAUGAGCCGAUGUCGGAUUAGCUAGUUGGCGGGGUAACGGCCCGCCAAGGCGACGAUCCGUAGCUGGUCUGAGAGGAUGAUCAGCCACACUGGGACUGAGACACGGCCCAGACUCCUACGGGAGGCAGCAGUGGGGAAUCUUGGACAAUGGGCGCAAGCCUGAU